rnacentral:lncRNA from 1 species
GGGGGGGGGAAAUCUGCGUGGGGAUGGAGGGGGGGAAAUGCAGCCGCACAACUUUUCCUUAAAAAUAUAUAUAUAUGUAUGAAAUAAUAAUAAGGGGGGGAGCGCAUGCGCGGAGGGGGCGGCCCGGCGCAGCACGGGUGGGUCGGCCAAGGCUGGGCUAGAGCCAUAUUUAAUGAGCCGCGCUGCUAAUUGCGUGCACGAGGCUCGGCCUUGCACGCCCAUAGCCCCCCCUCCUUCCCCGCAGCCCCCCCCCUCCCCAAUGGCUCGGGCCGGCGGCCUCGGCCUGCUCCUCUGCGCGUUAAUUAAUUGCAAAGCGUUCGUAAUCACGAAGCGCGCCGAUUAAACAAGCAACACUUUGCAUCCCAAUGCUUUUCCUCUCUUUAUUGGGACGAUCGGAUCGCUGUAACGCGGCGCUUUGGGGGCACGGAGCUCUCCGGUGGGGUGGAGGGGGUCGGUUUUUGGGGUCACCCCCCGUUCCGCGGUCGCUCUGCGCUCUCUGUAAUUGAGAACCAUCGCUUUCGGGAGGGGCUCCGCUUUUCCUGCGAAGUGGUAGACGCGGUGAUGCCUUUUAGGUUUUAUUUGCGUGGAAGUCCCUCCUUUCCUCCCCCCCCCCCCCUUUCUCUCUCCCCCUUAUUCCCCCCCCCCCCCCCUUUUUUUUUUCUCUUCCCCUGCAGCAAUUUUAAUUCAGGUUUAACGCGUGAGAUUUAAUGGGUGACCCUUCCCCUGCUAACCUCCCCACCUACCUCUCCAUCCGCCUCCCUCCCCACCUACCCAUCCAUCAUCUAAUCUUAUCUAUCUCCGUGUAUACACCGCUGCCGUGCAAGGAGAUAUAUAACGCGGUGACUUCAUUUCCUCUCGAGGUUGCAGCUCCUUUUCUUCCUCGAGACAUUCCCCUGUGUUAAAGAAAAAAAAAAAUAACAGCAAUUAUUGUUAUUAAUAAUAAUGAAAAUAAAGCAAUGCGCGAGCAGAGAUUUGCUGCUGGGCUGCGCUAUGGGGUGCGCUCUAUAGGGCCGGACAGACGGACGCACAAGGAUAUAGGGGCGGCCAACAAAUAAACGAUAGAGCCCUGCGUGCAGGGGGUGGGGGAGGGGAGGCGAUUUUCUGCCUUUAAUUUUUCCUCCUUUCCUGGGGGCGAUUUUGGGGUGCAGCAGCGCUGGAACAGCCGGGAGGGAGGGAAAGGCUGCGCGAUGCUUCUCGCUUCGCUGUCUGUUUGCCUCGUUGGGCUUUUAAAAAUGAAUUAUUUCAAAUCAAUUUUUUUUUUCUUGCGCUUUCUUUCACCAAAAAUGGCCUCCCUGAUUUUAAUUUGCAGCGCGCGUUCGCAGAGGUUCAUUAGCGAAAGCGGCUGAAGUUCUCGGGUGGUUUCUGGCCCCGGUGCGAUCCGUCAAAGGAGUUCGGUGGAGGGGGGGGGGCAAAGGGGGGGGACAGGGAAUGAAAUGCGAACAAUAAUUAAAACAUAGGGACGGGUUGCGAAAGUUUCUCGGAGCCGUUCUCUGUUUUCUGCCCUUUGCUUUGGGGGAAUCGGGGAAAUCGCUACGUCGGCCUUCGGGGCUGGGAAUUAUCGGGAGCAAAAGCGGAGCUGCGCUCUGACGGGAGGGCUUCAGCGCAGCUGCGCGGAGCCAAAGUGCAUUUCCCCGCUUUAUCCUUAUUAUUCUUAUUAUUUCUCUGUUUCUUUAAUACAUAAACGGGCGGUUUGGGGUUGGGAGGAGAAAUGAAAGGGAAGAAAAUAAAGAGGAAAGGGACGGUUUUGCUGUCGUUUUGUUCGCUGGGAAGAGGGGAAAAAAAAAACCCACAACGAGCACCACCCGGCGUUGUGUGAAGGCUGCGCCUCCAACUCGAGUCGUAAAGACAUUUUAUGAGCAAACAAUGAGUGUUUAUUGGAACCACAUGAUUACAGAAAUGGGAUCUUUUAUUGUUUUCAGACCGAUCCCGUCUGUCCCCCACCUCCCCCCCACCCCCCUCCCGACCCGGGGCCGUUCGCUCCCCGUUUCCCUGAGGCCUGGAGCCGAACCCCAACCUCGUUUUUGAGGCGCUGAUUUUCGGUUUCCCCGCCGACGUUGUCGCCCUUCGGAGAGGAGCAGCGCCGAGAAACAUUUCAGGGCGCGGAGAUGGAAAAAAGCGAUGAUUUAUGUGCGCCGAAUUGGUUUUUUUGUGUGUGUGUGUUUGGUUUUUUUUCCCCUCUCUUCUUUUUCCCGAACUGAAGCAGAGGAAAUAAAUUGCGCCGUAUAUCGAUACCAGCAGCGCUCGGGAGGGAUGCAGGAAAAGCGCCACGUGUUAUUGAUACGGACAGGGGAAAUAACAGAAAGAACAAUAACAGAAAGAAGCGCUCCUCGACAGAUGGAGUGGGGGGAAAAAGAAAUAAUAAUACAGGAGGAGGAUCGGACAGAAAUUGAAAAUUGGAAACUGCGCCGUUCCAAACGCCGCCGAAUGUGUUUACAGCGCCGUUUGAUGUCGAAGUAUUGAACGCGGAGCUGUACGCCCGUGGGGGCGUAAAUGGGGCUGGGAGGGGGGGUGAAGGUUUGGGGUGCGUUGGGAGAGGUGCGCGGUGCUCUGCGCGCAACAGUGGGCGCAGCCUCGGGGUUACAGCAGCGCUCGACCCAACGCAGCGCCGCGCGGACGCGUUGUGCCAAAUCCGCGUUGUCAGUGCCGGCAAAAAAAAAGCCCCCCCCUCCCCAAAACCCCAACAACAACAAAAAAAACCCAACUUGGAACUACAAAGAAGCGAUGAUAGGAAGGCGAUUUCCCAACUUGUCGUGUGUGAAGGAAUUCGGGUCGGGGAACGAAUCAAACAAACCCACCAGAAAGAAUAGAUGAUCUACGGCCGCUGCGCCGCGUUAGGUGCGGUGCGGGACGCGGCCGCGCAUGGGUCGAUUUUCAGUGGGGCCGCCGGUCUGGGUUUUUUUUUUUGCGCCAAUAAAUGUCACGAUUGUCAGUUUAUUCCUAUCCUUCUUCUCAUUUUUGGCCGUGUUUCCGGCCGCAGCUUUAGCGCGGCGAAAGGGUUUGGAGAGGGAAAUGUGCGGAGCUGAGCUUGGGAGGGGGGAGAGAAAAAGCAGCGAGUGUCAGGGCGAUAAAAAUAAUUAGUCAUAGAGGGAAAUUAGACUUUGGGAAGAGCUGCUGCGGAACAUCGGGGAUUAGGAGUUUGGUUUUUUUUUCUCUUAGGAGAUUUGGAGAUUUUCUGACUGUGGUUCGCGGGGCUGUAAUCCCCGCAGUGCGAAGGGGGGGGGGGGGGGGAAUAAAGGGAAUGGGGGGGGAAGGGAAAAAAAGAGUUGGAAUUGUCAGUGUUUGUGUUGAGGUCAGGGGUAAAAAAGAAAAAAUAAGAGGGGAAAAAAAAAAAAAAAGGGCCUUUUCCUUUCGGAUUUGUGUUCGUCGGGAGAGAAAGCGUGGGGUCGGAUUUGGGGGGUAAAGGGAAGAAAUCGGGGCAAGAGAGCCCCGAAGUUUUUUGGCAGCAGAGCAAUGUGACCUCCAGGCGGGGGUGUGAGGGGGAAAGGGAGCUCGGGGGGGGGGGGGGGGGGGGGGAGGGGAGGGGGAAAGGAGGCGAAAAGCGGCCCAGUCUCCCUCCCCCUCCUCCCCAGACACAAACACGAAGAGAAAAAUCCCCACCAGCGCUUUGAUUUGCGCCGUUAUUAGAGGUGCACCCACACGCCCGUGUAGAACACACAUCUGUAUCCAUAGGCCACGUACCCCCCCCUUCCCUCACACCCCCCCCAGCCCCCCCCCCGGUGCAUCCCGGCCUCUCCCCGCUCUCUUCUCCCCAAACCCAUUCCUUGAAGCGGAGCAGCGCAACAACAAACAAACGUUGAAGGCCAUUUCCCACCGCCCCGCAGCAAAAAUCAAUAGGAAGAAAAGCGAAGUGCUUCCCCCCCCCCCCCCCGCCCCC